GCUGCAUGGUUGUCGUCAGCUCGUGCCGUGAGGUGUCGGGUUAAGUCCCAUAACGAGCGCAACCCUAUCAUUAGUUGCCAUCAGGUCAAGCUGGGGACUCUAAUGAAACUGCCUACGCAAGUAGUGAGGAAGGUGGGGAGUGACGUCAAAUCAGCACGGCCCUUACGUCCAGGGCUACACACGUGCUACAAUGGCCGGUACAAAGGGCAGCUACCUGGUGACAGGAUGCUAAUCUCAAAAGCCGGUCUCAGUUCGGAUCGGAGUCUGCAACCCGACUCCGUGAAGUUGGAAUCGCUAGUAAUCGCGCAUCAGCCAUGGCGCGGUGAAUACGUUCCCGGGCCUU
rnacentral:rRNA from 1 species